CACUGAUGAAAGUGAAAACAUUUUAAUGUGUACAGACAUAUCUCACUCGUAUGCGUUCUUCUUUUUUGUCUACAGCAGCUACAUACACCACAACGGCUCUUUUAAGAGCCACAUCUUGAGAACAUCUUUGACUUUCUGUUCCAGUGAGCUUGUCCAAUGAAAAUGAGCAAGAAGAUGCUUGGGGUGAACACCCAUCUAACUUUCAAGAGAACACAAUCUCUGAACAGAGUUCCUCAAGUACCCACCAGCCAAGAACAAAUAUUUUUGCCUGUUGACAGCAUCGUUGCUCAAAAAGUGCUUCUGGUGUGAGACGAUGGAGCUGCAUCACUAAUCAAUGUACACCUGUUGAGAGGACAAUUCUGGAGGCACUUAAUGAACUGGACAUGAAGAUCAAUCAUCUGACUUCAGU